rnacentral:rRNA from 1 species
CCUACGGGAGGCAGCAGUGAGGAAUAUUGGUCAAUGGGCGCAAGCCUGAACCAGCCAAGUAGCGUGAAGGAUGACGGCCCUACGGGUUGUAAACUUCUUUUAUAAGGGAAUGAAGUGCGGCACGUGUGCCUUUUUGUAGGUACUUCAUGAAUAAGGCACGGCUAAUUCCGUGCCAGCAGCCGCGGUAAUACGGAGGAUCCGGGCGUUAUCCGGAUUUAUUGGGUUUAAAGGGAGCGUAGGUGGUUUGUUAAGUGAGUGGUGAAAGUUUGUGGCUCAACCGUAAAAUUGCAGUUGAUACUGGCAGGCUUGAGUACAGGUGAGGUAGGCGGAAUUCGUGGUGUAGCGGUGAAAUGCUUAGAUAGCACGAAGAACUCCGAUUGCGAAGGCAGCUUACUAAACUGCAACUGACACUGAGGCUCGAAAGUGUGGGUAUCAAACAGGAUUAGAUACCCCUGUAGUC